rnacentral:lncRNA from 1 species
GAGAGUCAAUCAUAAAUGUCAUUAACUUCUAAAAUUUUCUUUCCUGAUCUCAAAAUUAAACGGGCAAAAUGAGAUUUUUGACAAUCUACAAUACAAUUAAUUUGGGACAUUUACUUUACACAUCAUCAUAGACAAGAAUACUUUGUUUUUGAAUAAUAAGUACACAGUAAUAUGAUUACUUAAGGGAAACCGCACAAAGGUCGAAAAAGAAUAAAUUAGUGCGUAGAAGAAAACACCAAAACUAUACCCAAAUCAACAUCAUCCUAUUCAAAGCACCUCCAACCAAGUAAUGGCUGGAAUGAUAUAGAGGCAAAAAAAGUCAAGCUGUUAAUGGAUCACAAACAUAAUAACAAUUCUAACCAAGACACUGAUGCAACCCUAUUUUUUAUCUUCUCCCAAAAGCUUACAAACCAAUUUUGGUUUCUACUGAUAAGAAUCGCCGCGGAUUGUACGUAAACCGAGGCAGCAUGCUUCACCAAUUGAUUUCUGAUCAUGAUAUUUGACGGGUCAAAAUCAUGAUAUGCCUCAUAACUGAAUGCAAGACUGCUUGGAGGUGAAUUUAGAAUGAUAUCUUUUAAACUCGUGUACCUAUGUUCGUCAUCAAGUACCGCAUCUUCUUGUUGUGAACAACUACUUCUCAGGGAUGUUAUUGAUGAUAAUUUCUUUAGGAUUUGGAGCUCUUGAUCCAUCACUAAUGACUGAGCAAUUCACUAAUUUUGAUUAAUUAAGGAGAGAGGUUGAUGAUGGGGUAUUGAAGGUGGUAAAUCUUGUUUUGGUUUGGGAUAAUCAAGGUGAAAAUUAUUCACAGGGGAAUAAAGGGUUCCCAUGAAUGUUUUUGCUUACGAGUAUAGUUUUAAGGAUACAAAGUAAUUUUGGUUCGGUAAAUUAUGCUGGAGAGAGAUU